rnacentral:rRNA from 1 species
AUGCUGAAUGAAUGGCUAGUAUUGGGAGAUUUUAACCUUAUUUGCAAGGCAGAGGAAAAGAGCAACUCUAACAUUAACUUGGGGCUGAUGGCACAAUUCAGAAACACUAUUGAUUUGAUGGAACUGAGAGAUUUGCCUCUAUCUGGUAAAAAAUUCACUUGGUCUAAUGAGCGAGCCGGCAGAACCUUGUCCAAGAUCGAUCGGGUGCUUAUUUCCAAUGAUUGGAAACUUAGAUAUCCUCAGUAUCAAUUAAACCCGGCAUCCUCGGCUAUCUCGGAUCACUCUCCCUUGUUACUAAAAAAGAUGGAUGCCAAGGUUUAUAAGGGCUUCAGGUUCGAGGCAUAUUGGCUCAACAUGCAAGGAAUUGAUUCUGUGGUAUCGCAAAGUUGGAACAAGGCCCUGAGAUCAUCUGAUCCAGUGAGAAGAUUCCACAUAAAGCUUUCCAGGACAGCUAAGGCUUUUAGGGCUUGGGACAAAGCUAUCAAAGUUUCUUCUAAUAUUGCUUUCAAUGUGGCCAAUGAGGUCAUUUUUCAACUGGACCUAGCUAUGGAGGACCGAGAGCUAUCUGAGGCAGAAUGGGCUCUCCGAAGAUUUCUUAAAGCCAGAUUGCUGGGACUUGCGGCGCUGGAAAGGAUUAGAUAG